GCGAACGCUGGCGGCAGGCCUAAUACAUGCAAGUUCGAACGGCUCUUCGGAGCAGUGGCGGACGGGUGAGGUAAACGCGUGGGAAUGUGGCCCUUAGGUACGGGAGCAACACAGGGGAAACUUGUGCUAAUACCGUAUGUGCCCUUCGGGGGAAAGAUUAUCGCCUUUGGAGCAGCCCGCGUUGGAUUAGCUAGUUGGUGAGGGUAAAGGCUCACCAAGGCGACGAUCCAUAGCUGGUCUGAGAGGAUGACCAGCCACACUGGGACUGAGACACGGCCCAGACUCCUACGGGAUGGCAGCAGUAGGGAAUCUUGCGCAAUGGGCGAAAGCCUGACGCAGCCAUGCCGCGUGUAUGAUGAAGGUCUUAGGAUUGUAAAAUACGUUUCAACCGGGAAGAUAAUGACGGUACCCGGAGAAGAAAGCCCCGGCUAACUCCGUGCCAGCAGCCUGCUGGUAAUGCGAAGGGGGCUAGCGUUGCUCGGAAUUACUGGGCGUAAAGGGCGCGUAGGCGGACAGUUUAGUCAGAGGUGAAAAGCCCAGGGCUCAACCUUGGAACUGCCUUUGAUACUGGCUGUCUUGAGUUCGGGAUGAGGUGAGUGGAAUGCCGAGUGUAGAGGGUGAAAUUCGUAGAUAUUCGGUGGAAACAACCAGUGGCGAAGGCGACUCACUGGCCCGAUACUGACGCUGAGGCGCGAAAGCGUGGGGAAGCAAACAGGAUUAGAUACCCUGGUAGUCCACGCCGUAAACGAUUGGAGUGCUAGUUGUCGGCAUGCAUGCAUGUCGGGUGACGCAUAGUGUAACGCAUUAAGCACUCCGCCUGGGGAGGUACGGUCGCAAGAUUAAAACUCAAAGGAAUUGACGGGGGCCCGCACAAGCGGUGGAUGCAUGUGGUUUAAUUCGAAGUCAACGCGCAGAACCUUACCACCUUUUGACAUGCCCUGACCGCCGGAAGAGUAUCCGGUUUUCCCUUCGGGGACAGGGGACACAGGUGCUGCAUGGCUGUCGUCAGCUCGUGAUCGUGAGAUGGUUGGGUUAAGUCCCCGCAACGAGCGCAACCCUCGCCAUUAGUUGCCAUCAUUUAGUUGGGCACUCUAAUGGGACUAGCCGGUGGGUGUAAGCCGGAGGAAGGUGGGGAUGACGUCAAGUCCUCAUGGCCCUUACGGGGUGGGCUACACACGUGCUACAAUGGCGACUACAGAGGGUGUGCGAUCCUGCGAAGGGGAGCUAAUCCCUAAAAGUCGUCUCAGUUCGGAUUGCACUCUGCAACUCGAGUGCAUGAAGUCGGAAUCGCUAGUAAUCGCGGCUCAGCAUGCCGCGUGUGAAUACGUUCCCGGGCCUUGUACACUACCGCCCGUCACACCAUGGGAGUGGUUUUACACGAAGGCGAUGCGCUACCGCAAGGAGGCAGUCGACCACGUAGGGUCAGCGACUGGGGUG
rnacentral:rRNA from 1 species